UUUUUUUUUUUUUUUUAAAUCAUAUUUAUUAAAGUUUCCAAAAAUAUAAAAAUACAAAGAAAGAAAGAAAAAGAAAAAAAGAUAUUUAAAAACCUUACUUUCAUUGCCUACUUUCUGGGACUCCCCCCACCCCCCCCAACUGUAUUCCCCUUUCCUUAAUUUAGUUCUACAAGCUCUCACUCCCAAUUUGAAGCUUAAUUUGUUUAACCCACUAUCCAAAUUGAAUUGUACAAAUCUUACCACCGUCCCACAUCAUUAACAAGAAAAGAAAAAGAUUUUCCCCAAGAUCCACCCCAGUUCCUUCCACGAAUUCCCUUUUUUUAAACACGUCCAAUCAAAAUAAAAUGACAUGCGUAAGUUAUG